GCAAGAUUAAAACUCAAAGGAAUAGACGGGGACCCGCACAAGUGGUGGAGCAUGUGGUUUAAUUCGAAGAUACGCGAAGAACCUUACCUAGCCUUGACAUUGAUAGAAUCUUCCAGAGAUGGAGGAGUGCCUUUCGGGGAACUUGAAAACAGGUGCUGCACGGCUGUCGUCAGCUCGUGUCGUGAGAUGUUGGGUUAAGUCCCGCAACGAGCGCAACCCUCGUCAUUAGUUACUAACAGUUCGGCUGAGGACUCUAAUGAGACUGCCUUCGUAAGGAGGAGGAAGGUGAGGACGACGUCAAGUCAUCAUGGCCCUUACGGCUAGGGCGACACACGUGCUACAAUGGUUAGGACAAUGAGAAGCGAUACCGCGAGGUGGAGCAAAUCUAUAAACCUAAUCUCAGUUCGGAUUGUAGUCUGCAACUCGACUACAUGAAGCUGGAAUCACUAGUAAUCGUAGAUCAGCCAUGCUACGGUGAAUACGUUCCCGGGUCUUGUACUCACCGCCCGUCACACCAUGGGAGUUGAUUUCACCCGAAGCGGGGAAGCUAAACUGGCUACCCUCCACGGUGGAAUUAGCGACUGGGGUGAAGUCGUAACAACAUA
rnacentral:rRNA from 1 species